rnacentral:rRNA from 1 species
CCACGGGCGCACGGCGGAUGCCUUGGCACAGGGAGCCGAUGAAGGACGCGGCAAGCUGCGAUAAUCCCCGGCGAGGAGCACACAUCCUUCGACCCGGGGGUCUCCGAAUGGGCGAACCCAUCCACAGCAGUGUGGAUAUCCCCACCCCGAACACAUAGGGGCGGGGAGGACAACCCGGGGAACUGAAACAUCUAAGUACCCGGAGGAGAGGAAAUCAAUCUCGAGACUCCCCGAGUAGCGGCGAGCGAAAGGGGACCGAUGGCCAAACCGUCGAGCGGGCAUACCCGGCAGGGGUUCCGCCGACGGGGUUGCAGGGCCGCGCAUCCGGGGGCUGCCGCCCCCGGGCGCAGGUCCGGCUGGGGAGCGGAACGGCAUGGGAGGGCCGGCCGCAGCGGGUGACAGCCCCGUACGCGAACCCAGACCGGACGGCGCGACGCGGUCCCUGAGUAGGGCCGGGCACGUGAAACCCGGUCCGAACCUGGGUGGACCACCAUCCAAGCCUGAGUACUACCCUGUGACCGAUAGCGCACCAGUACCGUGAGGGAAAGGUGAAAAGCACCCCGGGAGGGGAGUGAAACAGUUCCUGAAACCGUGCGCCCACGAGCAGUCGGAGCACCCUUGUGGUGUGACGGCGUGCCUUUUGUAGAAUGAGCCAGCGAGUCGCUGGCGCGGGGCGAGGUUAACCGAAAGGGAGCCGGAGCGAAAGCGAGCCUUAACAGGGCGACUUGAGUCCCGCGCCGCGGACGCGAAGCCGGGUGAGCUAUCCGUGGGCAGGCUGAAGCGGGGGUAAGACCCCGUGGAGGGCCGAACGCACGUCGGUUGAAAACGGCGGCGAUGACCUGCGGAUAGGGGUGAAAGGCCAAUCAAACCCGGAGAUAUCUCGUUCUCCCCGAAAUAGCUUUAGGGCUAGCGUCGCGCGUUCACCGCCGGAGGUAGAGCACCGGAUGGACGAGGGGGCUUCGCCGCCUACCGAAUCCAACCGAACUCCGAAUGCCGGCGGCCCAGAGCGCGGCAGUCAGAGCAUGUGGGCUAAGCUGUGUGCUCGAGAGGGAAACAGCCCAGACCGCCCGCUAAGGUCCCCAAGUUCCAGCCGAGUGGCAAAGGAUGUGCGUCCGCCCAGACAACCAGGAUGUUGGCUUAGAAGCAGCCAUGCAUUCAAAGAGUGCGUAACAGCUCACUGGUCGAGUGGACAUGCGCCGACAAUACACGGGGCUAAGCUGGACACCGAAGCGGCGGGAUUUUGAUUUUCAGAAUCGGUAGGGGAGCUUCCCAUGGGCGGGGAAGCCGCCGGGCGACCGGCGGUGGAGCGCAUGGGAGUGAGAAUGCUGGCAUGAGUAGCGAGAGACGAGAGAGUAACUCGUCCGCCGUGAACCCGAGGUUUCCUGGGCAAGGCUAAUCCUCCCAGGGUCAGUCGGGGGCUAAGGCGAGGCCGGGAGGCGUAGCCGACGCGCAGCAGGCAGACAUUCCUGCACCGCGCACGCGGCGCUACGACCGACGGGGCGACGGAUGGGGGUGGCUCGGCGGGGUUCUGGACGUCCCCGUGAUGGAGCGCGGCCCGCGGACCAGGGAAAUCCGGUCCGCACGAGGGCGAGGCUCCGGACGAAGCGAUCAAGCGAAGCGAGUGAGCCCGAGGUCCCUAGAAAAACCCCUAGGCAGGCGCGUGCGCGCCCGUACCGCAAACCGACACAGGUGGGUGGGUAGAACAUACCGAGGCGAUCGGGUCAACCAUGGUCAAGGAACUCGGCACAAUGGCCCCGUAACUUCGGGAGAAGGGGUGCCCGCGCGUACGUGAACGGACUUGCUCCGGGAGCGGAGGCGGGCCGCAGUGGAGAGGCCCAAGCGACUGUUUACCAAAAACACAGGACUCUGCAGAAGCCGCAAGGCGACGUAUAGGGUCUGACGCCUGCCCGGUGCCGGAAGGUCACGCGGAGGAGUUAGCGCAUCGCGCGAAGCCCCGAAGCCAAGCCCCGGUAAACGGCGGCCGUAACUAUAACGGUCCUAAGGUAGCGAAAUUCCUUGUCGGGUAAGUUCCGACCUGC